UAGUAACGGCGAGUGAAGAGGGAAAAGCUCAAAUUUUGAAUCUGGUGUCUUUGACUCCCGAGUUGUAAUCUAGAGAAGUGUUUUCCGCGUUGGACCGUGUACAAGUUCCCUGGAACGGGGCGUCAUAGAGGGUGAGAAUCCCGUAUAUGCCACGGACUACCAAUGCUCUGUGAUACACUCUCAACGAGUCGAGUUGUUUGGGAAUGCAGCUCAAAAUGGGUGGUAAAUUCCAUCUAAAGCUAAAUAUUGGCGAGAGACCGAUAGCGAACAAGUACCGUGAGGGAAAGAUGAAAAGCACUUUGGAAAGAGAGUGAAACAGUACGUGAAAUUGUUGAAAGGGAAGCGUUUGAAGUCAGUCACGUCUGUCGGAAUUCAGCCUGGCUUCUGCCUGGUGUACUUUCCGUCCGACGGGUCAGCAUCAAUUUCGACCGAGGGAAAAAGACGUGAGGAAUGUGGCUGUCUUCGGGCAGUGUUAUAGCCUCGCGUUGUAUGUCUCGGUUGGGAUUGAGGAACGCAGCGCGCCUAUUGGCCGGGGGUUCGCGCCCCUCGGUACGCGCUUAGGA
rnacentral:rRNA from 1 species